rnacentral:rRNA from 1 species
UGGGGAAUAUUGCACAAUGGGCGAAAGCCUGAUGCAGCAACGCCGCGUGAGUGAUGAAGGCCUUCGGGUUGUAAAGCUCUGUCUUUUGGGACGAUAAUGACGGUACCAAAGGAGGAAGCCACGGCUAACUACGUGCCAGCAGCCGCGGUAAUACGUAGGUGGCAAGCGUUGUCCGGAUUUACUGGGCGUAAAGGAUGCGUAGGCGGAUUUUUAAGUGAGAUGUGAAAACCCUAAGCUUAACUUGGGGACUGCAUUUCAUACUGGAAAUCUAGAGUGCGGGAGAGGAGAAUGGAAUUCCUAGUGUAGCGGUGAAAUGCGUAGAGAUUAGGAAGAACACCAGUGGCGAAGGCGAUUCUCUGGACCGUAACUGACGCUGAGGCAUGAAAGCGUGGGUAGCAAACAGGAUUAGAUACCCUGGUAGUCCACGCCGUAAACGAUGAGUACUAGGUGUAGGAGGUAUCGACCCCUUCUGUGCCGCAGUUAACACAAUAAGUACUCCGCCUGGGAAGUACGAUCGCAAGAUUAAAAACUC